rnacentral:tRNA from 1 species
GCGGGCGUAGUACAACGGUUAGUACGCGUGCUUGCCAAGCACGAUACGGCGGUUCAAUUCCGCUCGCCCGCU